rnacentral:rRNA from 1 species
GAUGAACGCUAGCGGCAGGCUUAAUACAUGCAAGUCGAGGGACAGCACAGGUAGCAAUACUGGGUGGUAACCGGCAAACGGGUGCGGAACACGUACACAACCUUCCUUUAAGUGGGGGAUAGCCCAGAGAAAUUUGGAUUAAUACCCCGUAAUAUAGUUGAAUGGCAUCAUUUGAUUAUUAUAGCUACGGCGCUUAAUGAUGGGUGUGCGGCUGAUUAGAUAGUUGGCGGGGUAACGGCCCACCAAGUCUACGAUCAGUAGCUGAUGUGAGGGCAUGAUCCGCCACACGGCCACUGAGACACGGGCCCGACUCCUACGGGAGGCAGCAGUAAGGAAUAUUGGUCAAUGGACGCAAGUCUGAACCAGCCAUGCCGCGUGAAGGAUUAAGGUCCUCUGGAUUGUAAACUUCUUUUAUUUGGGACGAAAAAGGGCCUUUCUAGGUCAACUGACGGUACCAGAUGAAUAAGCACCGGCUAACUCCGUGCCAGCAGCCGCGGUAACAC